UGUACAGAUGUGCUGGCACUAAACAGCAGUG
rnacentral:piRNA from 1 species